rnacentral:rRNA from 1 species
UUUUACUUUGAAAAAAUUAGAGUGAUUAAAACAGAUAUUAUUAUGUCUGUAUAAAUUAGCAUGGGAUAAUCGAAUAAGAAUCAGGAUAUUUGUUUUGAUUUGGUUAAAUAAAAGAAUAAAUUUUCCUUAUGGUUAAUUUAUUUCUUUUAUCAAAUACCUGAUUACAUGAUUAAUAGGGACAGUUGGGGUCCUUCGUAUUGAAUUGUGAGAGGUGAAAUUCUAAGAUCAAUUCAAGACGUACUAAUGCGAAAGCAUUGGACAAGGAUGUUUUCAUUAAUCAAGAACGAAAGUUGGGGGAUCGAAGAUGAUCAGAUACCGUCGUAGUCCUAACCGUAAACUAUGUCGACUAAAGAUUAGUUAAAGUCUAUUGAAUAAAUGACUUUACUAGUAUUAUAACGAGAAAUCUCAAGUUUUCGGAUUCCGGGGGGAGUAUGGUCGCAAGGCUGAAACUUAAAGGAAUUGACGGAAGGGCACCACCAGGAGUGGAACCUGCGGCUCAAUUGGACAACGCCGGUAAACUCACCAGGUCCGGACACAAGAAGGAUUGACAGAUUGAUAGCUCUUUCUUGAUUUUGUGGAAAGUGGUGCAUGGCCGUUUUUAGUUGGUGGAUUGAUUUGUCUGGUUUAUUCCGUUAACGAACGAGACCUUAUCCUAUUAAAUAGUAAUCUAGAUUUAUUUUACUUUUUUCUUAAAUUUUUUUUAUAUUUAAUAUAUUAAAAAAAUUUGAGAUAAAAAAAAAAGUAUUUUUUUAAUCUACUAGAAUUUUUUUAGUACUUCUUAGAGGGACAUUUCAUGUCUAAUGAAUGGAAGAUUGAGGCAACAACAGGUCUGUGAUGCCCUUCGAUGUUCUGGGCUGCACGCGUAUUACAAUGAUAUAAUCAACGAGUUAUUAACCUAACCCGAUGGGGUUUGGGGAAUCUUUAAAAAUUAUAUCAUGAUAGGGAUAGAUCAUUGCAAUUAUUGGUCUUUAACGAGGAAUUCCUAGUAAGUGUUAGUCAUCAACUCGCGUUGAUUACGUCCCUGCCCUUUGUACACACCGCCCGUCGCUCCUACCGAUUGAAUGUAAAGGUGAGG